rnacentral:rRNA from 1 species
AAUAGCUCGUACUCCCCGAAAUGCAUUUAGGUGCAGCGUUGAUUUAUAGUUUUAUAGAGGUAGAGCUACUGAUUGGAUGCGGGGGCUUCACCGCCUACCAAUUCCUGACAAACUCCGAAUGCUAUAAAAUGAUAAUCAGCAGUGAGGGCAUGGGUGCUAAGGUCCAUGUCCGAAAGGGAAAGAACCCAGACCAUCAGCUAAGGUCCCCAAAUAUAUGUUAAGUUGAAUAAACGAGGUUGAACUGCUUUGACAGCUAGGAUGUUGGCUUGGAAGCAGCCAUUCAUUUAAAGAGUGCGUAACAGCUCACUAGUCGAGCGGUUCAGCAUGGAUAAUAAUCGGGCAUAAACAUAUUACCGAAGCUAUGGACUUGAAAAAGUGGUAGGGGAGCAUUGUAGUGGCGUUGAAGGUGUGUUGUGAGGCAUGCUGGAGUAGCUACAAAAGAAAAUGUAGGCAUAAGUAACGAUAAUGCGGGCGAGAAACCCGCACUCCGAAAGACUAAGGUUUCCUCAGCUAUGCUAAUCAGCUGAGGGUUAGUCGGGGCCUAACGCGAACCCGAAAGGGGUAGUGGAUGGAUAACAGGUUAAUAUUCCUGUACCUGCUCAUACUAAAAGUGACGGAGGCGAAAAGUUAGUGCGCACAGACGGAAUUGUGCGUUAAAGAGAGUGGUAACACCUUGAUAGUACACUAAGACUACGGUCGCGGUGAUAAUCUAGCAAAUCGACUUCCAAGAAAAGCGAAUGAAGCAGCCCGUACCCUAAACCGACACAGGUAGUUGGGAUGAGAAUUCUAAGGAGCUCGAGAGAUUCAUGGCUAAGGAACUAGGCAAAAUAGACCUGUAACUUCGGGAGAAAGGUCGCCACCCUUUGGGGUGGCCGCAGUGAAAAGGUCCAGGCGACUGUUUAUCAAAAACACAGGGCUAUGCUAAAUUGAAAGAUGAUGUAUAUGGCCUGACACCUGCCCGGUGCUGGAAGGUUAAGUGGAGUUGUUAGUUUAGGCGAAGCAAUCAAAUGAAGCCCCAGUAAACGGCGGCCGUAACGAUAACGGUCCUAAGGUAGCGAAAUUCCUUGUCGGGUA